AAGAAUGAGCCACUUUCACUUUCAUCUUUUUUUAAUUGGAUGAUAAUUGCUUUACAAUGUUGUGUUGGUUUCAGCCAUACUACGAUGAGAAUCAGCCAUAAGUGAGCCAUAAAGGUCACAUCCCUGACCUUUUGAGCCUCCUUCCCACCCCUCCCCCAUUCCACGCCUCCAGGCUGAGCUCCCUUUGCUAUACAGCAGCUUUCCACUGGCUAUCUGUUUUGCACAUGAUAGUGUAAAUAUGCCAGUGCUACUGUCUCAUUUCUUCCCAUCCUUUCUUUCCCCUGCUGUGCCCACAAGUCCAUUCCCUAUAUCUGUGUCUCUACUCCUGCCUGUUUCACAGAGUAAAGAAAGUCAAAGAGGAAAAAAGAUACAUAUAUCAAUGCAUAUAUAUGGAAAAUAGAAAAAUGGCACUGAUGGGCUGGUCUUUACCUAAAUUUGCAGGUUGAGAAUCCACCUCCACCCCUGUCUCCCAGGGAUAUAAAGGAAGCACUACAAAUGAAAACCCUAAGAUACAUUUUUAUGAAGGAAGUGUGCACUAAAUGAAAUCUCGGUUAAUAAGCAAAUCAGAUGUUCUUUAAGAAGUAAUGUGUGACCUCCAGGAGCAAAAGGUUGUGUGUGAACCACACUGUCCUUUGUGCCCAGUGUGUGCCCUCAUCUCGAGUAUUAACUACAUUUAGAUCUUGAAAUGUGCAUUGUGCCCAUAUGAACACACUGACACUCUAGAGCUCUAUGCCUUCAAAGCAUAUUCAGUUCAAUAAACCUUGCAUAUUCCUGUUUAAUUUCAUAAGAUGGAGACCACUAGUCAAGAAUCCUUGAUAUACAGUGGUCAAAAUAAUCCUCACAGGCCUAUUAGCCUCUUCUUAGCUGUGGGCAUCUGGUGCCCCAGGGCCUGGCAGUGUGAACUGGGGUUGGUGCCAGGGCCUGUGGAGCCAGUGCCGUUCACAGUUUCCAAGAUAUGAGCUGGCAGACGUUGCCUGGUGUGGGGGUAGGACUAGAUGACCUCUAAAUUCCCUUCUAAUCUUAAGACCCUGCCACAGCCUUAGAAGCCAUGACACUAAUAUUCUGCAAUAUUAAACUCUCAUCCCUAGCCAUAAUUCUAAAGCCUAUUUAUAGGUCUCUUCUACUUUUUUUAGAAGACCAGUCCAAAAUAGGUGGUGUAUAGAUAGAAACGUGAUCCAUCGGUUUUUUUCUUUUUUUUUAAAUUGCACGAGAGUAUUAAUGUAAUUAUGUGAAAGCACAUGAUCAGAUAUAAAGCUCUUCAUACACAAAAAGUCAUACAUAUUUCUUGACUUCAGCCAAAACACUCAGAGGCUCCAGGGCAGGAAUAAGUCAAGCUUCAGUUUUAAAGGAAUAUUGAAGCCAAUAAAGCAAACCAAGGAAGCUGCCUAUGGAUAUAAAAUCUGGGGCACAAUUCAGUUCAAUUCGAGAAGUGUAUAUUGAGUAUGUACUAAGUGUUGGGCAUUGUGCCAGGUUUCUUUUCCAUACAAAAGGGGCUUGUUUGCUUUCAGAGGUUGAUAUGACACAGAUGGUUUUCGUCGGUGGUGAGAGGUAGAUCAGAGCAAGAGCCCAAAUAAGCAGUUUUGCAUUUAAUAAUCACAGUUAUGAAAGCAACACAAAAGCUACCAUUUACUGAGGGCUGAUCAUAUGCCAGGGCUUAUGCUGCACCAAACAUUAUAUGUGUAUAUGAAUGUUUGUAUAUAUAUAUAAUUCCCAAUCUUUACAACUUAACAAAGGUAGCUAUUCUUUCUUCCUAUUUUAUGUAUGAGAAAACCAAGUCACAGACAGGUUAAAUCACUUGACCAAAGUCACCCAGCUCUUAAGGGCUGAGCUAAAUUUUGAAAAUAUAAUGGUCUGACUUCAAAGCCAGCAGGCUGUACAUUGUACCUACAUUAGUCUACAUUUUACCACCUGCCAUACUGGCCAUUAGCACUAAGCAGAAGGGAGGAGUGAGGGGCCUGUGGCACUUGGUAAGAGUGCUCAGCCCCUCGCUGCAGGCCUCCCCACACCACCUAAGCUAGGCCCCUCUAAUUAUUAGUUCUCUAUACAGGCCAGAUGGGUGAUCCAGACAAGAGGCAUAGAAACAGCUUUUGAAGCUGGCUUUGAGCUAUGUUCACUACUCCAAGUAGUCAAUUUAGGUCAAGUAUUUCCCAGCCACCUUCCUAUAGCCUUUCUUUCUUCUAAGUCCAUUUGACUACGGAUGCCACCUAUCUGACCUCGAGUCCAUCAGCAGCUCUGACUGUGGCCCAUCUACCCUGCAACCCAGUUCCCGGUCAGAGGGCAAAGCUUGCCUGGAAGUGAGACUUUGAAAUGGCACUUGGCUUGGUUCCCUGAAGUAAGUCACAUGCUUUCAGCUCUCUAGUCCUUCUCCUCUCAUUGGAACCGCCCAAGGGGAAGCUCAUAUGAAAACAGCAGGUUUCUCCCCAUCAGCAAAGAUACAUCCUUGCCCCCUGUGAUGGGCUUGGCUGGUCUGGCAGCCACAGGCAAGCUGUGUUUUAUUUGUGAACAUCCUUCUUGUUUCAGCAGAUAAUGGACUCUAGUUAGGAAACAACACAGUAAACACAGCAUAAACACUGGGAUGUUCAGCUGAAAUGAGUCUGCAUAUAAAUAAGAGUGCUGGGAGCCCGGGCAGUAAUAAGUCAGGAACACAAUGGAGAAAGGUUAUUAAAAGAAGAGCUUGUAAAAAUCUGUGACAAGGCUGAAAGCUUGGAGCAUUUCUUGAUUACAGGAGGACCAAAGGUGGCAGCCUAUCUCAUCUGUGCUCUCACUAACCGAGUUCCUGGACAUCUUACUUAAAAUCCAGCUAUUACUCACUUUGUUCAAUUGUAAAGUUGUGAUUUUAUGCACUUAAAAAAGUUCUAGGGCUGUUGUAAAGAUGUAUGCAUGAAAGCAUUAUGAAAAAAGUUACUAUUGCUGUACAAAUGGAAGGUUAUAUGAUUCUUAAUUUUGGAAAGUGGCUGAAAUUACUGUUUUAUACAUCUAAGCCUUCUUAUUGGUUUAUUAUCAAACAAAGCUAUCUUUUAUAACAGAAAUCUCCCAGGGACCUAUGAGGCAUAAGAGGAAUCAAAGGUAUUUUCUUCUGUGUUAUAGUCAAAACAGAAAGAUUCUUUUUGUCGCUUUAAAUUAGUCAACAUAUGGUUGGCUAUGAUGCAAUAACAAAGAAACCCAGCAAUCCCACUGGCUUAAUAACAGUAGCAGAAAAGAGGAUGUUCAUAUCAUUCUGAGGCAAGGCCUAUUGUGUCUUGGGCUUUUCUCCUGUGUCUGUAUUCCACACAGUGAGUUCUGAGUCCUGGGGGGCUUCUGUGACUUCUUGCAUUGCCAUAGUAGGGGAAGAAAGGGCUGGAUCCCAUGAUGAAAUGUUUUUAAUAGUGAGACCACCGAAAGGUUUAUCACUUCCGCUCUUUUCCAUUGUUCAGAACCCAUUUCAUGGCCUUUAUCCAAUGGCGAGGGAGGCUGUGACCUGUGGAGGAGUCCAUAGAUGUCUUGAUAAGAAAAGCAAGUCUGAAGAAGGUUAAGUACCUUGCCAAAAUCACAAGGCUGAUGUGCUCAAGAGCAAGACAAAGGAUGAGGUCAGAAGAUCUGUCAUCAGAUGCACUUCAAUAUUUCCCCAAUUAAUAACUGUCUUCCAAAGGGAAAAUUAUCCUGGUGGGCCUGAUGCAACCAGAAGGGUCCUUAAAAGUGGGAGAGAGUGAGCUGAAAGGCAUUGUGAACCUGGAGAAGCUCAGAAUAAUCAGUCAGAAGGAUUCAACCUCUGAGUAUGGAAAGGACCAUAAGUGAAGAACUGUGAGUUCUUCCUCUAGAAGUUCUUCCUCUAGAAGCUGGGAAAGGCACGAAAAAAGAAUUCUGCCUAUAAAGGAAUGCAGUCCUGCCUACACCUUGAUUUUAGCCUUGAGAGACAUGCCUCAGACUUCUGACCUUCAAACAAAUGAAAAUAAAUUUGACAAGACAACUCUCUCUAUGGCUAGAAAAAUGUUGGCCUUGUCUCUAGAAUAAAGCAUCUUGAGUCUGGAAAUCUAACAGGAAGUGGCCAUCAAAGCUGCUCCCUUGAACCCAGAAAUGGAAGCUUCUGAUUGAGGAUGGCAGAGUUACUUCAACUCCCUGGACUGUUGGAUGAGAGAGAAAUGAAAUUCUCUUUUACUGAAACUUCUGGAUUUGGGGUCUCUGUUAUACCAGCUUCCCUAUAACCUAACUAAAAGGCCAAUUUGUACCCUGAAAUAUUCUGGCUGACAUCUCCCAACAAAGCCUUGAUCCCUGAAGACUAGACAGAGCUGCAUGAGAGCAGAGCUCAAGACCUUGUGGUCUGUUUAAACUAUGACUCCUUGGAAAGUUAAGAAAUGGAAUUCAUUGCAGUAGCUGGGAGAACAUACCAUCAACAAAUUCACCAUUAAAUGUUUUGUUAUUCUU